GACGAACGCUGGCGGCGUGCCUAACACAUGCAAGUCGAACGGGGUAUUGAGAGCUUGCUCUUAAUACUUAGUGGCGAACGGGUGAGUAACGCGUGAGAAACCUGCCUCUCAGUGGGGGACAACAGUUGGAAACGACUGCUAAUACCGCAUGACGCAUAUGGAUCGCAUGGUCUGUAUGCCAAAGAUUUUAUCGCUGAAAGAUGGCCUCGCGUCUGAUUAGCUGGUUGGUGAGGUAACGGCCCACCAAGGCGACGAUCAGUAGCCGGACUGAGAGGUUGACCGGCCACAUUGGGACUGAGAUACGGCCCAGACUCCUACGGGAGGCAGCAGUGGGGAAUAUUGCGCAAUGGGGGAAACCCUGACGCAGCAAUGCCGCGUGAAGGAUGAAGGUUUUCGGAUUGUAAACUUCUUUUACUGAGGACGAAGAAAGUGACGGUACUCAGAGAAUAAGCCACGGCUAAACUACGUG
rnacentral:rRNA from 1 species